rnacentral:rRNA from 1 species
GACGAACGCUGGCGGCGUGCUUAACACAUGCAAGUCGAACGGAAAGGCCCUGCUUUUUUGGGGUGCCCGAGGGGCAAACGGGUGAGUAACACGGGAUUAACCUGCCCUGUACUUUGGGAUAACUUCAGGAAACUGGGGCUAAUACAGGAUAGGAGAGCCUGCUGCUGGGUGGGGUUGGGAAAUUUUCGGCGGUGGGGGAUGGACGUGCGGUUUAUCAGUUUGUUGGGCGGGUAGUGGCUACCACAGGCUUUGACGGGUAGCCGGCCUGAGAGGUUGGACGGCCUCCAUGGGCCUGCGAGACGGACCAGACGGCUAUGGUAGGCAGUAGUCGGGAAUCUUGCACAAUGGGCGGAAGCGUGAUGCAAAAACGCCGCGAGCGGGAUGCCGGCCUUCGGGUUGUAAACCGCUUUCGCCUGUGACGAAGCGUGAGUGACGGUAAUGGGUAAAGAAGCACCGGCUAACUACGUG